rnacentral:rRNA from 1 species
AUACGGAGGGUGCAAGCGUUAAUCGGAAUUACUGGGCGUAAAGCGCGCGUAGGCGGCUGAUUAAGUCAGAUGUGAAAUCCCCGGGCUCAACCUGGGAACUGCAUCUGAUACUGGUCAGCUAGAGUUUUAGAGAGGUAAGUGGAAUUUCCGGUGUAGCGGUGAAAUGCAUAGAGAUCGGAAGGAACACCAGUGGCGAAGGCGACUUACUGGCCAAGAACUGACGCUGAGGUGCGAAAGCGUGGGUAGCGAACAGCAUUAGAUACCCCAGUAGUCC